rnacentral:rRNA from 1 species
GACGAACGCUGGCGGCGUGCUUAACACAUGCAAGUCGAACGGAAAGGCCCUGCGUUUUUGGGGUGCUCGAGGGGCGAAGGGGUGAGGAACACGUAAGUAACCGGCCCUUGACUUUGGGGUAAGUUCAGGUAACGGGGGCUAAGACCGUAUAGGAUCUCCUGCUGCAGGGUAGGGGGUGGAAAUUUUCGGCGUUUGGGGAUGGACGCGCGGCUUAUCAACUUGUUGGUGGGGUAGGGGAUGACCAAGGAUUUGACGGGUAGCCGGCCGGAGAGGGUGGCCGGCCACAUUGGGACUGAGAUACGGCCCAGACUGCUACGGGAGGCAGCAGUGGGGAAUAUUGUACAACGGGAGGAAGCCUGAUGAAGAAACGCCGCGUGCGGGAUGACGGCCUUCGGGUUGUAAACCGCUUUCGCCUGUGACGAAGCGUGAGUGACGGUAAUGGGUAAAGAAGCACCGGCUAACUACGUG